rnacentral:lncRNA from 10 species
CAGACAUGUCCAGACAUGCCUUGUAUUCUAGUGGAUGGAUCACCACUCCUACCCCCUCCUCCUCUUACAGACUGUGCAUUUACCCUGUUUAGAAAAGUUUAAGUCUUAGCCAGUCAGGAUCAGUUUAGAUUGUGCAGUCCAACCCUAGACACAGGGACAGGAACUGCAUUAGGGAUAAAAACCACUUCUCUCCUUUGUUCAGUGUGCUCUUGCAAUCGUAACUGAUGCAGGCAGCACCCUUCUGCAGAAGCAAAUUGCCUUGCUGAGAAAAAUUUUGCGUAAGUGCUGGUUCUUCCCUGCAGCACCGAGCAUUUGUUUCCAACAAGCCUGGGGGCUCAUCUGGGAUUCCCAUUCUCCUCCAGGGAAGGGUCUCAGAUCACCUCUUGUGGGGAGAUACAUCCAGCUGCCUCAUUGUGGUGGUCUCAGGGGUAAGGAAUCGAGACCCAACCAGCGUGACAAAUAAACAUGGAUCCUCAGCAACAUGGGAAGAAAAGGCCUACAGAUACCGGGGUGACCAGGUAACUCUAUGCACAGACCAAGAGGCCCAUAAGUGGGUAAAUGUUCCUAAGGACAAAGAUAUCUAUAAAUCUGCAGAGUGUACAUCUGUAAGAAUAGAAGACUGAUUCCUCGCUCACAUCCUCACUGAUCUAAUAACUACUCUGGCUUCCAAGAUGCUUCAAAAACUAAACUCAGCAAAAAGUGCAGACCAAAUAUGUGGCAGAAGUUGAACUGAGCUCGUUAAGUUUCAUAUUAUGUCCAAUUCUUGGCCCAGCAGUGCUACCGUUGGUCAUUUAAAUUUGAAAUUAGUUAUUGAUCUUCCCAGCAUUUGAAUCUUGGUUAUACCUUUUGAGAAAAGAGUGCUUGUUUCUGUGAUUUUGAAUGGGAAUCCAUGUCCAGGUUGCAAAUUCUUGGAAAUCUUGACACCAGACAUCCUCUGCUGGAUUGACCCCAACUUCUCUGUAAAGUAACUUCGGGACAGAUUAAGAUAAUCUAUUUUUAAAACCCACAAGAUUAAAGCAGAUAUAUGUGAAAGUAUUCAGGAAAAGGCAAACAGUAAACAUGUGUAAUUUGGAUUCAACAAAACUUAUCUCGAGUGCUUUGUUUAUUAAACAUUAUGGUAGGUGCU